GUACAAUAAGCAAAAUAAGGGCGUAUGGGGGAUGCCUUGGCUCUCAGAGGCGAUGAAGGGCGUGAUAAGCUGCGAAAAGCUACGGGGAUUGGCACACACGAAUUGAUCCGUAGAUACCCGAAUGGGGCAACCCACUAUGUUGAAGACAUAGUACACCGAUAGGUGGGCAAACCCGCUGAACUGAAACAUCUAAGUAGGCGGAGGAGAAGAAAACAAAAGUGAUUCCGUAAGUAGUGGCGAGCGAACGCGGAUUAGCCCAAACCAAUGUUGUUACGGCAAUAUUGGGGUUGUAGGACCACGUUAUUUGUUGCGGAUUGAAUUAGAAUUUACUGGAAAGUAAAGCCAAAGAAGGUGAUAGCCCUGUAUAAGUAAAAGAAGAUAACGAUAGUGGUAUCCUGAGUAGGGCGGGACACGAGAAAUCCUGUCUGAAUUUGGCGGGACCAUCCGCUAAGGCUAAAUACUCCUGAGAGACCGAUAGUGAACCAGUACCGUGAGGGAAAGGUGAAAAGAACCGUGAAUAACGGAGUGAAAUAGAUCCUGAAACCAUACGCUUACAAGCGGUCGGAGCCCUUUCGUGGGGUGACGGCGUGCCUUUUGCAUAAUGAGCCUACGAGUUAACGUUGCUGGCAAGGAUAAGUGGUUAAG
rnacentral:rRNA from 1 species